GGGGAAUUAGCUCAGUUGGGAGAGCGUUCGGUUCGCAUCCGAGAGGUCGAGGGUUCGAGUCCCUUAUUCUCCA
rnacentral:tRNA from 1 species